UGGGGAAUAUUGGACAAUGGGCGCAAGCCUGAUCCAGCCAUGCCGCGUGAGUGAUGAAGGCCCUAGGGUUGUAAAGCUCUUUCACCGGUGAAGAUAAUGACGGUAACCGGAGAAGAAGCCCCGGCUAACUUCGUGCCAGCAGCCGCGGUAAUACGAAGGGGGCUAGCGUUGUUCGGAUUUACUGGGCGUAAAGCGCACGUAGGCGGACUAUUAAGUCAGGGGUGAAAUCCCGGGGCUCAACCCCGGAACUGCCUUUGAUACUGGUAGUCUUGAGUUCGAGAGAGGUGAGUGGAAUUCCGAGUGUAGAGGUGAAAUUCGGAGAUAUUCGGGGGAACACCAGUGGCGAAGGCGGCUCACUGGCUCGAUACUGACGCUGGGGUGCGAAAGCGUGGGGGGCAAACAGG
rnacentral:rRNA from 1 species